GGUAAUGUGGUUCUGUGGAAGAGCACAUGACUUUCAUGCAUGGGGUCCUGGGUUUGAUUCCCAGCACCA
rnacentral:tRNA from 1 species